CUUCUGAUGUUGAUGCAUUCUUGUUACACUUUCUCACACUCUUUCUGGUAAAUAGAAUUGUUUUGCAUUCCUCUUUGGAGGAAGCGAGCAUUGAUUGACAUUGUGAUGAAACAGUGGAGUCAGAGGGUCUCUUCAUCACUGUCCAAUCCAUGCUCAUUGUUAGAUUUCCAUAAAUAGACAUGUUAUGUAAAUAAAGAGGUCUUUUUCCUGCUCGACCAA